rnacentral:rRNA from 1 species
GAUCCCUGGCUCAGGAUGAACGCUGACAGAAUGCUUAACACAUGCAAGUCUACUUGAUCCUUCGGGUGAUGGUGGCGGACGGGUGAGUAACGCGUAAAGAACUUGCCCUGCAGUCUGGGACAACAUUUGGAAACGAAUGCUAAUACCGGAUAUUAUGUGAGUUUCGCAUGAAAUUCAUAUGAAAGCUAUAUGCGCUGCAGGAGAGCUUUGCGUCCUAUUAG